rnacentral:rRNA from 1 species
CCCGGGUCUUGUACACACCGCCCGUCACACCAUGGGAGCGGGUCUCGCCAGAAGUAGUUAGCCUAACCGCAAGGAGGGCGAUUACCACGGGCGGGGUUCGUGACGUGGGGUGAAGUCGUAACAACGGUACC